rnacentral:lncRNA from 1 species
UUACUACCACAAACUAAAGUCAAACCUGAAUCUGUCAAGGUCAUAAGUAGAGACUCCAGUUGCAAAGGCAACUUCACGGAGCGGCCGAACCUUGCUUGAAAUGGGUGUUCAUGUACAGUCCCCCUUCCAAAAUAAAAUAUCUUCACGCAACCGCAAUGCCAGGGAAGAGCACAUGAAUAUUCCUACUCUAUCCCUAAGAACACUUGAUAAGAAGGUUGACAACUUGGAUCGAGAGCUUUGGGAAGAGAUUAAGGGUGUUGAGUCUAAAGUGAUGGAGAAUAUGACUUCUAUUGAAACCAAUAUAUUGGAUGCAGUAACGAAAUCAAGGUAAAGCUUUUGAUAACAAUUAAAACUAUGAGCAUUGUUUGUUGUGGGUUCCAAGUUUUAAAUUUUCAUUGAUUUUGCUAUAUAUGUAUGUUAGGUUUUUGGGAAUGUUUUUAGUUGGGUGCUUGAUUUUGUUUGUUUCUACUGAGGUUUAAUUUGGUGAAUUCAAAAUUUGGUACAAUACCUUCAAUUUUAUGAGUAAGAGCAUGAGUAUAAGAAUGUCUAAGAAUCUUUUCUACGAAUUAGUAGGAGAACAUUUUCUGUCUAAGAACACCGAGUAAAGAAAACUGCCCAAAAGUUAUAGCACAAGAAUAUCAAAGAGCAUAUCUUUUUUGCAAUUUAAUAUGUGAGAGAGAUAUAGAGUUUUGGAGAAGCCAAUCCAAGUGGGAUCUGUGGAUUUAGAUUUUUGUAUGGAAGAGUAAUAAAGGCAGCCCUUUGCUCAAUAGUUUCUGAUGGGGACAUCAUUGUCAAACGACUUAGAGUUUAUAAGAGAAAGAGGUGGAAGAAAAGUAGUCAUACUGUCUAUAGAAAGAUAAUCUUGAGCCCAUAACUUUCAGAGUCAGUAAUCUAUAUGGAAUUUAAGUUUGGCAUUAGACUUUGAACACAUCCUAAACUAGAGGAAUCUACACAAUUCUUGGAAAUACUUAAAUUCUGAAUUUUAAAGAGCAUAAUGUGGGCAACAAAGUUAAUUAGUUUCAUACCUAUUUCCUACGGUGAAUUCCUUGUUUGCUGAUGAGUGUUGAUGCUUGGUAAAAAUUUAAUAGCUUGAGUUAAUUCUCUGUAUAUAUUUUUGUUUGGUUUAUGGGAAAAUUAAAAUUUUUUUGUUUUGGUUUAUCUUUGUAAUUGUAUUGUCUGAGAUUUAAAGACAGUGUUUUACUGAUAAUGUAGUUCUAUUCACAAUCGUUACAAGGAGUCAAUACAUCAACUUAAAUGGUGGAGGUGCAGGCAUACUUUCGUAUAGACAAAAAUCUAAACAAAAUACUCUAGUUGGUCACACCCUUGAUAGAUUAUACACAUCAUAGUUGAUAAUAGUCGAUUUCUUGGAAUUUUUAUGUACUUGCCAUUUCCAUUUUGUAGGUUGUCAUCUGACAACCAAAGAAACACAAUUGGUUUUGAAGGCCCAUAAAGAAUCUAUGAAUUUUUGAGUUGCAAGGUUAUGCAAAACUGGAAACACUUGCAGCAGUAGUUCUUGCUGCUUUGUGGAUUUUUUUACUAAUCUAGUUCUUGCAGCUAUGGGUUCAAUUGCACUUUAUCAGUUCUAACUAUGUCAUUAUAUGGAUUAUCUCCGCAAACUUUGUUGUGGUACUAGAUUUAUUGAUAUGGAAUAUAUGUACUUUAUAUUCGUGACAGAAUAUAUGUAUUUUAAGUUUUGAAAUUACUACCUUUCUUCUUUAUAUAGCAGUGAGUUGAUAGAGUUUGUCAGAUAUUGCUUUCCAGAGAUUCUUUUGAAUCUUUUUAUUUCAAAUAACUUGUAAAAUUUUCUCUGUCAUUAUUUGUGUUCCAAUUCUGAGAUUGGAUCAAUUGUUUCAAUGUCCAUAUACUAGUUCUUUGUUGCAGAGGCAACUUCAUGGUGUGCCUGUUGAAAGUCAUCCAGAGUAACUCUAAAACUCUCUUCAUACAGUUCACCCAACCUUAACUACCUAUCCAAAUCAAAUGAUGUGGCACUUAAAAACACCUUGAAGUUCUGCUUCACUAUAGUUUAUGGUGCGAGUUGAUGAAACUCCAAAGUAUUAUUUUAAAUUUAUAAUUUUAUCCAAAAAUAAAAGUUUUUUGACUUAAAAACAUAGCUUUUUCACAAAGGAAAGAGAAGAGAAGAAUGAUUACCAAGCUCACAUAGAUUCACAUCAUAAUUGAGAUGUCCAUUCUCCAUCAAUUUCCUUGUAAGAUGUUGAAGAAUACCCAGAUAACCUCUUUUGACAGGAAAGGUCUGUUGUGGAGAAGCCAUGGAAGGUUUGGUGGAGGUAGAUCUAGCUACAGAAGACCACGAUUGCCGUAAUACUUUGGAGCUCCCCAUGGCCGAGAACUUUCUUCUCCUUGAUAACCUUUUGCCUUGUAGCCAUCUUUUUUAGAUCCACUAUUAACGUGCUACUUGAAGUGGUCUUCACUUUUGUUGGUAUAGAGAACUUCCUCUUCACCUUUUGACAAGACCUGUCCCAUUUACUUAGCCAUAGCUCCUUGAUUGGCAAGCAAAUUUUCAAAUUCAACAAGUGAUGGUUGAGUCAGCC